UACAGAGGGUGCAAGCGUUAAUCGGAAUUACUGGGCGUAAAGCGAGCGUAGGUGGCUUGAUAAGUCAGAUGUGAAAUCCCCGGGCUUAACCUGGGAACUGCAUCUGAUACUGUUGAGCUAGAGUAGGUGAGAGGGAAGUAGAAUUCCAGGUGUAGCGGUGAAAUGCGUAGAGAUCUGGAGGAAUACCGAUGGCGAAGGCAGCUUCCUGGAAUCAUACUGACACUGAGGCUCGAAAGCGUGGGUAGCAAACA
rnacentral:rRNA from 1 species